UAAAACGUGAUGAAGAGAAAAGUAUAGAUGAUCAAGCAUCAAAGAGAGCCUGGGUAGGUGAGAGCAGGUAUGCAGCGGCAUUUAGAAAAUGGUCUCUGAACGGUGGCGUCGAUAAGUAGGCGUCAACGGGGUAGCGCUCGUUAGACACGCUCUAGUAUGCAUACGUACUAGUGAAGGCAAGAGUUGCGAGACUUUUGCGAAUAAAGGUGGUAACGCGAGUAAACUCGUCCUUUUU
rnacentral:ncRNA from 1 species